rnacentral:rRNA from 1 species
AGAGUUUGAUCCUGGCUCAGGACGAACGCUGGCGGCGUGCUUAACACAUGCAAGUCGAGCGAUGAAACACCUUCGGGUGUGAAUUAGCGGCGAACGGGUGAGGAACACGUGAAGAAUCUGCCUUCAACUCUGGGAUAACUCCGGGAAACCGGGGCUAAUACCGGAUAUGAGCCUUGAUCGCAUGAUCGGGGCUGGAAAGUUUUUCGGUUGAAGAUGACUUCGCGGCCUAUCAGCUUGUUGGUGAGGUAAUGGCUCACCAAGGCGACGACGGGUAGCCGGCCUGAGAGGGCGACCGGCCACACUGGGACUGAGACACGGCCCAGACUCCUACGGGAGGCAGCAGUGGGGAAUAUUGGGCAAUGGAGGAAACUCUGACCCAGCGACGCCGCGUGAGGGAUGAAGGCCUUCGGGUUGUAAACCACUUUCAGUAGGGAAGAAGCGAAAGUGACGGUACCUACAGAAGAAGCACCGGCUAACUAUGUGCCAGCAGCCGCGGUAAUACAUAGGGUGCAAGCGUUGUCCGGAAUUAUUGGGCGUAAAGAGCUCGUAGGUGGUUCGAUACGUCGGAUGUGAAAAUCAGGGGCUCAACCCCUGACCUGCAUCCGAUACGGUCGAGCUAGAGUUUGGUAGGGGAGACUGGAAUUCCUGGUGUAGCGGUGGAAUGCGCAGAUAUCAGAGGAACACCGAUGGCGAAAGCAGGUCUCUGGGCCAUACUGACACUGAGAGCGAAAGCGUGGGGAGCGAACAGGAUUAGAUACCCUGGUAGUCACGCCGUAAACGUGGGCGCUAGUUGUGCGAACCUUCCACGGUUGUGCGACGCAGCUAACGCAUUAAGCGCCCCGCUGGGGAGUACGAUCGCAAGAUUAAAACUCNAGGAAUUGACGGGUCCUCGCACCAGCAGCG